AGCGAACGCUGGCGGCAGGCUUAACACAUGCAAGUCGAGCGGGCAUCCUUGGGGUGUCAGCGGCAGACGGGUGAGUAACGCGUGGGAACGUGCCCUUCGGUUCGGAAUAACUCAGGGAAACUUGAGCUAAUACCGGAUACGUGCGAGAGCAGAAAGGUUUAUCUGCCGAAGGAUCGGCCCGCGUCUGAUUAGCUAGUUGGUGAGGUUAUGGCUCACCAAGGCGACGAUCAGUAGCUGGUCUGAGAGGAUGAUCAGCCACACUGGGACUGAGACACGGCCCAGACUCCUACGGGAGGCAGCAGUGGGGAAUAUUGGACAAUGGGGGCAACCCUGAUCCAGCCAUGCCGCGUGAGUGAUGACGGCCUUAGGGUUGUAAAGCUCUUUUCUCCGGGACGAUAAUGACGGUACCGGAGGAAUAAGCCCCGGCUAACUUCGUG
rnacentral:rRNA from 1 species